AUUUACAUAGUUUAAGUAAAACAUUAUAUUUUCAUUAUAAAAACAAAAAUUUUUUUGUAAAUA
rnacentral:tRNA from 1 species